GCCCCCGUAGCUCAAUGGUCAGAGCGUACGGUUUCUACCCGUCAGAUGUGGGUUCGAUUCCUACCGGGGGCA
rnacentral:tRNA from 1 species